rnacentral:rRNA from 1 species
AAACGGGAGAGAUCCGAAAGGUCGAAAGGGGGGGACUCAAUCCCGUCCGCGAGUCCGGUGCCGUUCUCGGUCACAAGGAUGCUGCCGGCCGCCGACCGCGUCGCAAGGCGCGAGUCGGGUCGGAGUCGGUGGCACCGAGGCUGGGGGCUCGGCCGCGGCGAGGUGCAAUUCUCCCCCCGAGUAGGACGUCGCGACCCGUUGGGUUUCUCGUCCGGCCUAAGGCCCGGGAAUUGACCGAGGUGGCUGCCGCGCCUUUGGCGCGGGUCAACGGUCUCCUCGGACCCUGGAUGUCCUGGCCGGCGCCCGACGGGAUGCUUCGCGGAGAAGGCCCGCUCCCUCUCGGAGCGUCCGGCCCGGUGGACAAGCUCGAGGGUGGGCACGAGGUGCCGUGGCUUCCGCCACGUCCCCGGCUCCCGUCGGCUGCUGGUCUCCGGAGUCCUCGGACGGUGGCCGUCUCCCGUCUGCGGCGCUUUUGCUUCGGAUGCUUUCCCGACCCGUCUUGAAACACGGACCAAGGAGUCUAACAUGUGCGCGAGUCGCUGGGAGCUCUCGCUAAACCCGGAGGCGCAGUGAAAGCGGACGUGCGGUCCUCUUCAGGGCCGCCGUCGGGAGGAUGCCGUGCGGAGAUCCCGCUCGGCCGCACUCCCGGGGCGCCUCGGCCUCUCGGCCGCAGGCGCACUCGGAGCGCACACGUUGGGACCCGAAAGAUGGUGAACUAUGCCUGGUCAGGACGAAGUCAGGGGAAACCCUGAUGGAGGUCCGCAGCGAUUCUGACGUGCAAAUCGAUCGUCAGAGCUGGGUAUAGGGGCGAAAG